rnacentral:tRNA from 1 species
UGCAUCGGCCGGGAAUCGAACCCGGGCCGCCCACGUGGCAGGCGAGCAUUCUAUCACUGAACCACCGAUGC